UCCGGGUUGCGGACAGUGUCUGGUGGGUAGUUUGACUGGGGCGGUCUCCUCCUAAAGAGUAACGGAGGAGCACGAAGGUCAGCUAAUCCUGGUCGGACAUCAGGAGGUUAGUGCAAUGGCAUAAGCUGGCUUGACUGCGAGCGUGACGGCGCGAGCAGGUGCGAAAGCAGGUCAUAGUGAUCCGGUGGUUCUGAAUGGAAGGGCCAUCGCUCAACGGAUAAAAGGUACUCCGGGGAUAACAGGCUGAUACCGCCCAAGAGUUCAUAUCGACGGCGGUGUUUGGCACCUCGAUGUCGGCUCAUCACAUCCUGGGGCUGAAGUAGGUCCCAAGGGUAUGGCUGUUCGCCAUUUAAAGUGGUACGCGAGCUGGGUUUAGAACGUCGUGAGACAGUUCGGUCCCUAUCUGCCGUGGGCGCUGGAGAAUUGAGGGGGGCUGCUCCUAGUACGAGAGGACCGGAGUGGACGCAUCACUGGUGUUCGGGUUGUCAUGCCAAUGGCAUUGCCCGGUAGCUAAAUGCGGAAGAGAUAAGUGCUGAAAGCAUCUAAGCACGAAACUUGCCCCGAGAUGAGUUCUCCCUGACUCCUUGAGAGUCCUGAAGGAACGUUGAAGACGACGACGUUGAUAGGCCGGGUGUGUAAGCGCAGCGAUGCGUUGAGCUAACCGGUACUAAUGAACCGUGAGGCUUAACCUU
rnacentral:rRNA from 1 species